rnacentral:rRNA from 1 species
UACGAAGGGGGCUAGCGUUGCUCGGAAUUACUGGGCGUAAAGGGCGCGUAGGCGGCACUGUUAGUCAGGCGUGAAAUUCCUGGGCUCAACCUGGGGACUGCGCUUGAUACGGCAGAGCUAGAGGAUGGAAGAGGCUCGCGGAAUUCCCAGUGUAGAGGUGAAAUUCGUAGAUAUUGGGAAGAACACCGGUGGCGAAGGCGGCGACCUGGUCCGUUACUGACGCUGAGGCGCGACAGCGUGGGGGAGCAAACAGG